UACGAAGGGGACUAGCGUUGUUCGGAAUUACUGGGCGUAAAGCGCACGUAGGCGGAUUUGUUAGUCAGGGGUGAAAUCCCGGGGCUCAACUCCGGGGCUGCCGGCAAGACUGGCGGGCUAGAGCACGGUAGAGGCGGAUGGAAUUCCCGGUGUAGCGGUGGAAUGCGUAGAUAUCGGGAAGAAUACCGGUGGCGAAGGCGUUCCGCUGGGCCGUUGCUGACGCUGAGGCGCGACAGCGUGGGGAGCAAAUAGG
rnacentral:rRNA from 1 species